AGUGACGCCGACCAUUACUGAUAUAUCACCAUCUUCAGGUCCGGCCGGGAUAUUGUUGACUCUUAAAGGGCGAAUGUUUACCUCGAAGUAUGGUUUAAAUGCUAGCACAAAUGGAAACAAAAACGAAAUAUCAAGAGCGAUGUUGGGAGGCGAUGUGUGUGAUUUGAUGUCACCGG